AUUGAACGCUAGCGGGAUGCCUUACACAUGCAAGUCGAACGGAGUGGCGAACGGGUGAGUAAUGUAUCGGAACGUGCCCAGUAGCGGGGGAUAACUACGCGAAAGCGUAGCUAAUACCGCAUACUAUUGGAGCGGCCGGUAUCGGAUUAGGUAGUUGGUGGGGUAACGGCUCACCAAGGCGACGAUCCGUAGCUGGGUUGAGAGGACGACCAGCCACGGGGGUACGAAAACGCGGCCCAGACUCCUAGGGGCGGCAGCAGUGAGGAAUUUUCGACAAUGGGAGAAACGAUGAUCCAGCCACGCGGCGGUGGCGAUGAAGGCCUUCGGGUUGUAAAGCACUUUUGGAAGGAAAGCGGUACCUGCAGAAUAAGCACCGGCUAACGACGCGCCAGCCGCGGUAAUAC
rnacentral:rRNA from 1 species